UCCCCGGGCGUCGAACAGU
rnacentral:snRNA from 1 species